CUAAGAUUGAUAACAUCCUGAGCUACAAGUCCAAGCUCAGUAACAUUAAGAAAAUUGAAAUCAUAUCAAGCAUCUUUUCUGACCACAAUGUUAUACGACCAGAAAUCAACAAGAAAAAAACUGCAAAAAACACAAACACAUGGAGACUCAACAACAUGCCCAAAUAGUUAUAUAACAAAACUAUUCGCCAGAGUACUACUCGCAACAGCCUAAAACUCAAAGGACUUGGCGGUGCUUCACAUCACCUAGAGGAGCCUGUUCUAUAAUCGAUAAACCCCGAUAGACCUUACCAACUCUUGCCAAUUCAGCCUAUAUACCGCCAUCUUCAGCAAACCCUAAAAGGAACAAUAGUAAGCACAAUCAUAACACAUAAAAACGUUAGGUCAAGGUGUAGCUUAUGAGUUGGAAAGAAAUGGGCUACAUUUUCUGCAUAAGAAUAUUCACCGUACGAAAGUUUUUAUGAAACUAAAAACCAAAGGAGGAUUUAGCAGUAAAUCAAGAGUAGAGUGCUUGAUUGAAUAAGGCCAUGAAGUACGCACACACCGCCCGUCACCCUCCUCAAGCAUAUAGUAAUACAAAAUAACCUAUAUUUAAUUACAUAAUCAUGCAAGAGGAGACAAGUCGUAACAAGGUAAGCAUACUGGAAAGUGUGCUUGGAUUACCAAAGCAUAGCUUAAACUAAAGUACCUAGUUUACACCUAGAAGAUCCCACAAUAUAUGGGUGCUUUGAACUAAAGCUAGCUCAACAUACUAAAUAAACACAAAAACUACACUAAAAUAAAAUAAAACAUUUACCUGACAUUAAAGUAUAGGAGAUAGAAAUUUUUAUCUUGACGCUAUAGAGAUAGUACCGUAAGGGAAAGAUGAAAGAACAAAAUAAAAGUAAAAAAAGCAAAGAUUACCCCUUCUACCUUUUGCAUAAUGAUUUAACCAGAAAAAAUCUAACAAAGAGAACUUUAGCUAGAUACCCCGAAAACAGAGGUGAAAAGCCUAACGAGCCUGGUGAUAGCUGGUUGUCCGAGAGUCUAAAAAGGUACAGCUUUUUAGAGUGCACUAAGGAAAGAUUAAAAGAAGUAAAAGGAACUCGGCAAACACAAACCCCGCCUGUUUACCAAAAACAUCACCUCUAGAUCCAACCAAUGGAUCACUGAAGAAAUCAAAGAGGAAAUUAAAAAUACCUAGAAGCAAAUGACAACGAAUAUAUGACACUCCAAAACCUAUGGGAUGCAGCAAAAGCCAUUCUAAGAGGAAAGUUUAUAGCAAUACAAGCCCACCUCAGGAAAAAAUAAAAAGCUCAAAAUAAACA
rnacentral:lncRNA from 1 species